rnacentral:rRNA from 1 species
GGGCCCGCACAAGCGGUGGAACAUGUGGUUUAAUUCGACGCAACGCGAAGAACCUUACCUACCCUUGACAUGCUCGGAAUUUGCCAGAGAUGGUGAAGUGCCUUCGGGAGCCGAGACACAGGUGCUGCAUGGCUGUCGUCAGCUCGUGUCGUGAGAUGUUGGGUUAAGUCCCGUAACGAGCGCAACCCCUAUACUUAGUUGCCAACAGGUAAAGCUGGGAACUCUAAGAAGACUGCCGGUGAUAAGCCGGAGGAAGGUGGGGAUGACGUCAAGUCCUCAUGGCCCUUACGGGUAGGGCAACACACGUGUUACAAUGGCCGGUACAGAGGGAAGCGAAACCGCGAGGUGGAGCGAAUCCUUUUAAAGCUGGUCGUAGUCCGGAUUGGAGUCUGCAACUCGACUCCAUGAAGUUGGAAUCGCUAGUAAUCGCGGAUCAGAACGCCGCGGUGAAUACGUUCCCGGGCCUU